rnacentral:rRNA from 1 species
GACGAACGCUGGCGGCGUGCUUAACACAUGCAAGUCGAACGGAAAGGCCUGCUUUCCCUUGUGGAUUGCGGGUACUCGAGUGGCGAACGGGUGAGUAACACGUGAGUGAUCUGCCCCCAACUUGGGUAUAAGCCUGGGAAACUGGGUCUAAUUCCCGAUAGGACUGCAGGGUGGUGCCUGUGGUGGAAAACGAUUUUCUAGUGGUUGGGGAUGAGCUCGCGGCCUAUCAGCUUGUUGGCGGGGUAAUGGCCUACCAAGGCGGCGACGGGUAGCCGGCCUGGGAGGGGGGACGGCCACAUUGGGACUGAGAUACGGCCCAGACUCCUACGGGAGGCAGCAGUGGGGAAUAUUGCACAAUGGGCGGAAGCCUGAUGCAGCGACGCCGCGUGGGGGAUGACGGCCUUCGGGCUGUAAACUCCUUUCGACCGCGAGGAAGCCACCUGGUUGGAAGGGUGGUGACGGUAGUGGUAGAAGAAGCACCGGCUAACUACGUG